rnacentral:rRNA from 1 species
GCUCAGCCGUAAACUUUUACUUACAUCAUAAUCGCCAGGGAACUACGAGCUAAGCUUAAAACCCAAAGGACUUGACGGUACCCCAUAUCCCCCUAGAGGAGCCUGUCCUAUAAUCGAUAAUCCACGUUUAACCUCACCAUUUCUAGUUUAUCAGCCUGUAUACCUCCGUCGUCAGCUUACCACGUGAGCGCCAAUUAGUGAGCCUAAUGUUAUUUCACCAACACGUCAGGUCAAGGUGCAGCAAAUGAAAUGGAAAGAGAUGGGCUACACUUUCUAUUAUAGAAGAAACGAAAAACUACAUAUGAAACCUAGUUGGAAGGCGGAUUUAGCAGUAAAAAGGAAUCAGCACAUCCAUUUUAACCCGGCACUGGGGUGUGU